rnacentral:rRNA from 1 species
GACGAACGCUGGCGGCGUGCUUAACACAUGCAAGUCGAACGGAAAGGCCCUGCUUUUGUGGGGUGCUCGAGUGGCGAACGGGUGAGUAACACGUGAGUAACCUGCCCUUGACUUUGGGAUAACUUCAGGAAACUGGGGCAAAUACCGGAUAGGAGCUCCUGCUGCAUGGUGGGGGUUGGAAAGUUUCGGCGGUUGGGGAUGGACUCGCGGCUUAUCAGCUUGUUGGUGGGUAGUGGCUUACCAAGGCUUUGACGGGUAGCCGGCCUGAGAGGGUGACCGGCCACAUUGGGACUGAGAUACGGCCCAGACUCCUACGGGAGGCAGCAGUGGGGAAUAUUGCACAAUGGGCGGAAGCCUGAUGCAGCAACGCCGCGUGCGGGAUGACGGCCUUCGGGUUGUAAACCGCUUUCGCCUGUGACGAAGCGUGAGUGACGGUAAUGGGUAAAGAAGCACCGGCUAACUACGUG